rnacentral:rRNA from 1 species
GACGAACGCUGGCGGCGUGCCUAAUACAUGCAAGUUGAGCGCUGAAGGUUGGUACUUGUACCGACUGGAUGAGCAGCGAACGGGUGAGUAACGCGUGGGGAAUCUGCCUUUGAGCGGGGGACAACAUUUGGAAACGAAUGCUAAUACCGCAUAAAAACUUUAAACACAAGUUUUAAGUUUGAAAGAUGCAAUUGCAUCACUCAAAGAUGAUCCCGCGUUGUAUUAGCUAGUUGGUGAGGUAAAGGCUCACCAAGGCGAUGAUACAUAGCCGACCUGAGAGGGUGGUCGGCCACAUUGGGACUGGGACACGGCCCAAACUCCUGCGGGAGGCAGCAGUAGGGAAUCUUCGGCAAAGGACGAAAGUCUGACCGAGCAACGCCGCGUGAGUGAAGAAGGUUUUCGGAUCGUAAAACUCUGUUGGUAGAGAAGAACGUUGGUGAGAGUGGAAAGCUCAUCAAGUGACGGUAACUACCCAGAAAGGGACGGCUAACUACGUGCCAGCAGCCGCCGUAA